rnacentral:miRNA from 1 species
ACCGAAGACUGUGCGCUAAUCU